GGUGAUGGAAUUGAUGGUGGUGAUGGUCAAGGUGGUGGUGAUGGUCAAAUUGGUGAGGGUGAAGAUGGCAUUGGUCUAAAGACAGAAUCUGUAAAGUCACAGUUUACGCUUAUGACAAAUGAUGAUGGUGAUGAUCAUGCUGAUAAUGAGCAUGGUGAUGAUGAGCAUAGUGAUGAUCAUGGUGAUGAUGAGCAUGGUGAUGAUCAUGGAGGUGAUGAUGGUAAUGAAAAAGGUACUCUAGUGCAUGGCGACGAUGGUGGUGAUGAUAAUGAUGACAAUGGACAAGAAACAG